CGGUGUUCAACUGGCGUGCCCGCGGGACGUCCUGCCGGUGAGCUCAGCCCGCGAGGGCGGCUCAACUUGAAAUCCCAUCGCGGUGCUCUUCAUUGAGUGUCGAGGUGGGCCGGCACGAUUACUUUUGAACAAAUUAGAGUGCUUAAAGCAGGCUAAAAUUUUGCCUGAAUACUGUGUAUAUGGAAUAAUGGAAUAGGACCUCGGUUCUAUUUUGUUGGUUUUCGGAACCCCGAGGUAAUGAUUAAUAGGAACGGAUGGGGGCAUUCGUAUUGCGACGUUAGAGGUGAAAUUCUUGGAUCGUCGCAAGACGGACUAAAGCGAAAGCAUUUGCCAAAAACGCUUUCAUUGAUCAAGAACGAAAGUUAGAGGUUCGAAGGCGAUCAGAUACCGCCCUAGUUCUAACCAUAAACUAUGCCAGCUAGCGAUCCGCCGACGUCCCUCUGAUGACUCGGCGGGCAGCUUCCGGGAAACCAAAGCUUUUGGGUUCCGGGGGAAGUAUGGUUGCAAAGCUGAAACUUAAAGGAAUUGACGGAAGGGCACCACCAGGAGUGGAGCCUGCGGCUUAAUUUGACUCAACACGGGAAACCUCACCAGGCCCAGACACUGGAAGGAUUGACAGAUUGAGAGCUCUUUCUUGAUUCAGUGGGUGGUGGUGCAUGGCCGUUCUUAGUCGGUGGAGCGAUUUGUCAGGUUAAUUCCGAUAACGGACGAGACUCUGACCUGAUAACUAGACGCACUUGCGGCAUCUCAAAGGUCCGCCGGCGGCUGGCUUUGCGCCCGUCGUCGCGCACGAUUUUUACUGCCGGCGUACAAUAAAUUCUUCUUGGAGGGACAAGUGG
rnacentral:rRNA from 1 species